AAACUUGAGAGUUUGAUCAUGGCUCAGAACGUACGCUGGCGGCACGCCUAACACAUGCAAGUCGAACGAAGUAGCAAUACUUAGUGGCAGACGGGUGAGUAACAUGUAGGUAUCUGCCCUUUGGCCUGGAAUAACACGAGGAAACUUGUGCUAAUACCGGAUAAGUCUUUACGGAGAAAGCUUUAUGCACCAUUGGAUGAGCCUGCACUUGAUUAGUUUGUUGGUAGGGUAAUGGCCUACCAAGACUGUGAUCAAUAGCUGAUUUGAGAGGAUGAUCAGCCACAUUGGGACUGAGACACGGCCCAAACUCCUACGGGAGGCAGCAGUGGGGAAUCUUGCACAAUGGAGGAAACUCUGAUGCAGCGAUGCCGCGUGAGUGAAGAAGGCCUUUGGGUUGUAAAGCUCUUUCGUCGGGGAAGAAAAUGACUGUACCCGAAUAAGAAGGUCCGGCUAACUUCGUGCCAGCAGCCGCGGUAAUACGAAGGGACCUAGCGUAGUUCGGAAUUACUGGGCUUAAAGAGUUCGUAGGUGGUUGAAAAAGUUGGUGGUGAAAUCCCAGAGCUUAACUCUGGAACUGCCAUCAAAACUUUUCAGCUAGAGUUUGAUAGAGGAAAGCAGAAUUUCUAGUGUAGAGGUGAAAUUCGUAGAUAUUAGAAAGAAUACCAAUUGCGAAGGCAGCUUUCUGGAUCAUUACUGACACUGAGGAACGAAAGCAUGGGUAGCGAAGAGGAUUAGAUACCCUCGUAGUCCAUGCCGUAAACGAUGUGUGUUAGACGUUGGAAAUUUAUUUUCAGUGUCGCAGCGAAAGCGAUAAACACACCGCCUGGGGAGUACGACCGCAAGGUUAAAACUCAAAUGAAUUGACGGGGACCCGCACAAGUAGUGGAGCAUGUGGUUUAAUUCGAAGAUACGCGCAGAACCUUACCAACACUUGACAUGUUCGUCGCGACUCUAAGAGAUUAGAGUUUUCGGUUCGGCCGGACGAAACACAGGUGCUGCAUGGCUGUCGUCAGCUCGUGUCGUGAGAUGUUGGGUUAAGUCCCGCAACGAGCGCAACCCUCACUUUUAGUUGCCAUCAUUAAGUUGGGCACUCUGAAAGAACUGCCAGUGAUAAGCUGGAGGAAGGUGGGGAUGACGUCAAGUCCUCAUGGCCCUUACGUGUUGGGCUACACACGUGCUACAAUGGUAUCUACAACAGGAAGCAAGACUGCGAAGUUAAGCAAAUCCCUAAAAGAUACCUCAGUUCGGAUUGCACUCUGCAACUCGAGUGCAUGAAGCUGGAAUUACUAGUAAUCGUGGAUCAGCGUGCCACGGUGAAUGCGUUCCCGGGUCUUGUACACACCGCCCGUCACACCAUGGGAGUUGGUUCUACCUUAAGGCAAGGCUUUAAACCCUUGACCACGGUAUAGUCAGCGACUGGGGUGAAGUCGUAACAAGGUAGCCGUAGGGGAACCUGCGGCUGGAUUACCUCCUUU
rnacentral:rRNA from 1 species